AAACUAGGAUUAGAUACCCUAUUAUUUUANGCUUAAUGUUGAUAGUAUAUAAAGGAUAUGAAAUCAAAAGGUUAUGGCGGUAUUUUAAGCUCAUUAGAGGAAUUUGCUCUGUAAUGGAUAUAACACCUGGAUCUUACUUAAUUUUGUUAGGGCAGUUUGUAUACCACUAUAUUUAACUAUGUUAAAUGACUAUAGUUAAGAUUUAUUUAUAAAUAAAUUAUAUUAAGUCAAGGUGCAGCUUAAAAUUAUGUAUGAAGUGAAUUACAUUGAUUUUGAUUUAUUUUUGAAAAUGAAAAUAAAAUUUAGGAUUUAAUAGUAAAAUACUAAUAUGAUGAGUAUUUGAAUAGAGCUCUAAAAUAUGCACAUAUCGCCCGUCGCUCUCAAAUUUGAGAUAAGUCGUAACAUAG
rnacentral:rRNA from 1 species